rnacentral:lncRNA from 1 species
AAAGAGCUAAUUAGUUGCUGGGAAUUUUAGAAGUAUUCUCUCUUUCAUCUCUACAAACACUCUCUACAAAUACUUCUUCUCUAAAACCUCUUUUCUUAUACAUAUAUAUUUAUAUAUACAAGGUUUUAGUUAUAUAAGCUUAGUUCAACCAACCAAGCUCUCUCCCAACCCAACUAGCUCAACCACUACUACUUUAGGCCUCCCGUAGGGCUGCCCAAGUUCCGCCACUAAGCCAAAAUCCGGCCGAACCUCCGGCGAAUUUUUCCGGCGAACUUUCCGAUCGUUUUUGUAAGUGGUUAUUAUUUUAGCUUCGAUCCGAGUCUUAACCGACCAUUAUAUAUACAAGAGCUCGUUAUUAUUCUCGAUCUAUUCAUCUUAAAGCUCUUCAUCUUAUAUCUCUUAUAAAAGAGAUUUCUUAUUUCGAAUUAAAUUCAAACACGAACUAACAAAGUCGUGUUAUUCGAAAUAUAAAUAUAUAUACACGAACUAUAGAUUCGGUGUAUAUUUAAACGAACUAAGAUUCGUUACAUUUGAGUUAUAUACAUAAACAAAGUUUAUAUCUUUCGAAUAUACUCAAAUAUAUUUUGAUACAAACGAACUACGAUUUGUAUCUUCUUACGAACUAAAGAUUCGUAAUAAAUCUCGAAAACGAGAUUAAUAUUUGACGACGGUCAAAAUCAAUUUUAUUAAGCUUGAUUCUAUUCCCAACUAUCAUCGUAUUGUUCCGUGGGAAGAAAAUCUAAAAGGCUUACUUUAAUUCUUUAACUUUACUUAGCACUAACUUAGCCAACUAACUUAUUUACUUUCCGCUAUUUACUUUCUGCACUUUAUUGUUAUUAUUUAUUGUUGUUGUAAUUGCGGAUUCUAGUUUGGCUAUAUCAUUAUAUUGUGCUAAAGUUAAAGAAAGACUACACUCUCUCU